ACUCAUCCCUCCCAUCUUUCCUUGAAGGAGAGUUACACUUUGAGUCUGUGCAUUUUGACGAAGCAAAGCCAGACAUGUCUCCUGGAACGUUACCGGUGCUGAGAGAGGAAGAGGAAGAUGUAGGACAGGAAGAGAUAGAGGGAGAGCCUGGUGGAGAAACUGAAACUGUAUCUGACCAUAUCUCAGUGGAGAUAUAUGAUGACGAAGAGGAGACUCAACAUAUUGAUGAGGAAGAGAUAGGUUCAGGAGAAGAGGAGACUCAACCUAUUGAUGAGGAAGAGAUAGGUUCAGGAGAAGAGGAGACUCAACAUAUUGAUGAGGAAGAGAUGGGUUCAGGACAUGAGGAUAGUCAACCUAUUGAUGAGGAAGAGAUGGGUUCAGGACAUGAGGAUACUCAACCUAUUGAUGAGGAAGAGGCAGAGAUGAUGGACUCAGGAGAAGAAGAGGACACAGGAAUAAAGAACCUUGGCUCGCCAGGGGGUUGGUCUGUGGUUGUUCACUACGAUGAAGAAAGCCGGGAUGGUGCACUCCAGGACAUAGAGAAGAUUGUAACCACAGGACAACCUUUUGCCGAACAAGACAGUGAAAACCGUGAAGACAGAAACGCAGAGCAAGGUGCUUUCGAGAACAGUGAUGUGAGGUGUUUUGUGGGUGUCACUGAAGACGUGACCAUGGAGAUCACAGCAGAUAUAUGUGAAGAAGGGGAAGAAAACCAAGAGGAAUCAUCUGAUUCAGACCUGGAGGUCCUGACUAGCUCUAUCACCAAAAAACAGAGAAAAGAGGGAAAUAAAGUAGCGAACUUACUCUCCCAGCAGACUGUUCCUCAGGAGAAUGAAGAGGAAGACGAGCAAGAAGAAGAUGGAGCUCCAGAGGUUGUUUAUGAUUGGCCAGAUCCUGCAGCAACACAGAAUGUGCAAGCUCUUAUGGUCAACGCCUUUGUGGAACACCCGCUUCAGAAGAAAAUUAAGGAGUUCCAAUUGGACGACAACCAAGAGGCGGAUGAAAGAUUUGCAGAUUACCCCUCUGUCUGCUCUCCGUGUAAAUACAAAAAGGACGGAGGAAAACUGUCUAGUCCCUUGGAGGGUAUCUGGAAUACAGAAGAGAAAGUAGACGUCAUGGAAGAGGUAACAGCCUCUAUCUCUCCACGCGUAGAAGGUGAGCAAGAUUUAGCAGAUUCUGCAAUGUUUAAUACCAAUAUUGACACUAGCAUGAGGAAGAGUAUUGGAUACCAUCUUGAACCUCAGAGUGACAGCAAUAGUUCCAGUGGCAGUUCUAGUGAGGAUGAGGAGGAACAACAGAAGUAUAAGGAAGAACAUCAAGCGCUGCCAAGAUACCAGGGUCUUCCUCGGAGAGACCGGGGGUCUGAGGAUUCUCCUCUUCAAGUUCAGUGGGGAGGUGGAGAGGAGGACGGCUCCAAGCAGAGCGUUGCUGCCGACCUGCAUCUUUCAGAAACCAUCUCCGAUGUCCCCACGUUUACCCUUCACAGUGAGGCCAGACGCGGUAGAGCAGCUAUAACUAUCUCCAGAGGUACCGGCAACAUGUCACCAUCUGGCUCUGAGGAAAGUUUGCCCGGAGCGUUGUGGACAUCGGAGGCUGAACAAAGAGAGGAUAAACGAGAGACUUGGCUUUGGGGUGAGGCUGGGCCAGCCUCUGAGGAUAGUUUGCCCGGAGCAUUGUGGACAUCGGAGGCUGAACAAAGAGAAGAUAAACGAGAGACUUGGCUUUGGGGUGAGGCUGGGCCAGGCGCUUUAGAAGAGGAACAUCUUUGCAAAGUUCAACUGGAAGUAGCAGGAAGGUUGAAGAGCCACAUUCACACUGAUAUAAACUGGGACACAGGGGAAAAUAAUGCGGAAUGUGGUGGUUUAAUUCAAGAUUACCAACAUGACGCGUCUGGAAUCACAGAGAGUGGAGAACUUGCAGACGAAGAGGAUGACGAAGAGGAUAAUAGGAGUUGGGAACAAGAGAAAGAGAGAAUCAAGGCAUUCUACAAGUUUUAUAAUGAUGAAGAGGAAGAGGGGGAGAAUGCCACUGGAACAGAAGGUGAUUUUUCAGGGAGGAGGCCUAGAGUUCAGUUCUGCAUGAAUCCCCUGCCUCAAGUCAUUGAAUACACAGACAGCACACUUUACCAGCAGAUGACGAUGUUGUGA
ensembl:lncRNA